UGUCUAUUAANUGUAGGCCAGUAUGAACGGCAACAUGAGAGCCUAACUGUCUCUUGUAAUUAAUNAAUUAAACUGAUCUUCCAGUACAAAAGCUGGAAUAAAGCCAUAAGACCAGAAGACCCUGUGAAGCUUUAAUUAAACUGCUAACCCAAAUAGUAGCUAAUUUCGGUUGGGGCGACCUCGGAACAAAAAUAAACUUCCGAAUCACAUGAGACCUUCCCUCAUACAAUUAAGGCUUACAAGCCUCUACAAUGACCCAGUACUACUGAUAAAUGAACCAAGUUACUCCAGGGAUAACAGCGCCAUCUUCUUCAAGAGCCCAUAUCAAAAAGAAGGUUUACGACCUCGAUGUUGGAUCAGGACACCCAGAUGGUGCAGCCGCUAUCAAAGGUUCGUUUGUUCAACGAUUAACAGU
rnacentral:rRNA from 1 species